GUGCAGUAACAUGCACUGGAGGACCGAACCCACGUAUGUUGAAAAAUGCGGGGAUGACUUGUGUCUAGGGGUGAAAGGCCAAUCAAACCUGGAAAUAGCUGGUUCUCCGCGAAAUCUAUUUAGGUAGAGCGUCACGUGAAUACCCUCGGGGGUAGAGCACUGGAUGGGCUAGGGGGACUCACCGUCUUACCAAACCUAACCAAACUCCGAAUACCGAUGAGUAAUAUCUGGCAGACACACUACGGGUGCUAAGGUCCGUAGUGGAAAGGGAAACAGCCCUGACCGCCAGCUAAGGUCCCUAAGUUAUGGCUAAGUGGGAAAGGAUGUGAGAGUGCAUAGACAACCAGGAUGUUGGCUUAGAAGCAGCCAUCAUUUAAAGAAAGCGUAACAGCUCACUGGUCUAAAUAAGGGUUCUCGCGCCGAAAAUGUACCGGGGCUAAAGCCAUGCACCGAAGAUGCGGAUGUACACUUUUAGUGUACGUGGUAGCGGAGCGUUCCGUAAGUCUGUGAAGGGUGACCCGCGAGGGCACCUGGAGAUAUCGGAAGUGAGAAUGCUGACAUGAGUAGCGACAAAGA
rnacentral:rRNA from 1 species